UACGGAGGGUGCAAGCGUUAUCCGGAUUCACUGGGUUUAAAGGGUGCGUAGGUGGGUAUGUAAGUCAGUGGUGAAAUCCCCCGAGCUUAACUUGGGAACUGCCGUUGAUACUAUAUAUCUUGAAUAUCGCGUAGGUAAGCGGAAUAUGUCAUGUAGCGGUGAAAUGCUUAGAUAUGACAUAGAACACCAAUUGCGAAGGCAGCUUACUUCACGAUUAUUGACACUGAGGCACGAAAGCGUGGGGAGCAAACAGG
rnacentral:rRNA from 1 species